UCUAAAUUUUACACUCCCGCGUGUGGUGAUGACACAUUCGCCAAAGCCCUUUCAUGUUCAUUUACUAAUUUCUUUACUCUACAGUCUACACAAAAGCCUUCCCAAAACCUUCUCUCUCCACAAAAGCCUUCCCAAAACCUUCUCUCUCCACAAAAGCCCUAAUCAAUUUGUUCAUUUACAAUUUCUACCCCACAAAACCCUAAUCAAAUUGCCGUGACGGCUAACUAUUUCUCUCUCCACAAAAGCCCCAAUGCCCAUGUACUGAUAUCUUCUAUCUUCAGGAAAACCCACUAAACAACCCAAUCGGAAUCAGUUUCUCUCUUGGUGGUCUUCGAUCGAAGGUCAAUUUCUCAGCUACUCAAUAAUCGGACGUAAAGGAGUUUCUAAUCACAGCACAUAAGGAUCAGUUAGGUUCGAUUUAUCAUCAUAUUCGAAGAACACUGUGUUGUCAUUAUCUUAUAUCAUAUCUUGUUUUUGAAAGAGAAAGUAGUAUAUAUCAAAUUCUGCUAUUUAAUUGGAAGAUCAUUCGCUAAGAAGACUCGUCAAUCAAUCGAAGCUCUGAGAAACUAAGGUAGAACAAGCACUAUCACAAUGGAUGCUGGAUGUUGUUGUUCCCUCAAUGAAGUCACUGAUUGUGAAUUAAUUAUUGAGGCACCCGGAAAUUGGUAGAAUUGCUUUUGACAAUUAGAUUUCCUUUUCUAUUUUGGCACAUUGAACAUUGAUGAAUUGUGAAAAUGUCUUUGAUAUGUUUAAUUGUAUAUUUCAAUGGAAUACAAUGGAUGGUUAUUUUCAUUAAGUGAAAAUUGUUAG